rnacentral:rRNA from 1 species
UAGGGAAUCUUCGGCAAUGGACGAAAGUCUGACCGAGCAACGCCGCGUGAGUGAAGAAGGUUUUCGGAUCGUAAAACUCUGUUGUUAGAGAAGAACAAGGACGUUAGUAACUGAACGUCCCCUGACGGUAUCUAACCAGAAAGCCACGGCUAACUACGUGCCAGCAGCCGCGGUAAUACGUAGGUGGCAAGCGUUGUCCGGAUUUAUUGGGCGUAAAGCGAGCGCAGGCGGUUUCUUAAGUCGGAUGUGAAAGCCCCCGGCUCAACCGGGGAGGGUCAGUGGAAACUGGGAGACUUGAGUGCAGAAGAGGGGAGUGGAAUUCCAUGUGUAGCGGUGAAAUGCGUAGAUAUAUGGAGGAACACCAGUGGCGAAGGCGGCUCUCUGGUCUGUAACUGACGCUGAGGCUCGAAAGCGUGGGGAGCAAACAGG